UACGGAGGGUGCAAGCGUUGUCCGGAUUUAUUGGGUUUAAAGGGUGCGUAGGCGGCCCAUUAAGUCCGUGGUGAAAUCCCAGGGCUCAACCCUGGAACUGCCAUGGAUACUGGUGGGCUUGAGUUCGGUCGAGGCGGGCGGAACUGGUGGUGUAGCGGUGAAAUGCAUAGAUACCACCAAGAACCCCGAUUGCGUAGGCAGCUCGCUAGGCCGAAACUGACGCUGAGGCACGAAAGCGUGGGGAGCGAACAGG
rnacentral:rRNA from 1 species